rnacentral:lncRNA from 1 species
GUGGAGGUUACAUGUGGGUUUAGGAAAUGUGUGUGGUGCUGUGCUGAUGCAUGACAAAGCCAUCACAGUGAUCAGUGGUACAUGCAACAGGUUCCAUAGGAUAUAUCAUUGGAUCAGUGGCCAGUGCUGGUUCCCUCAGCAUCAUCCUACCCAUGGAUCCUAAUGAGGAUCCAGAUGAUCCCUUCCCCAUGGUUCAGUCUGAAGCAACUGACUGUUUAAGGGCUAAGGUGAAAUUUUCUAAUGCCCACACCACCAGGGCCACGAUAGUUGCUGCUUUCAUCCCUUCUGAGAUGGACAAGGCCUCUCAGGACUUUUCUACUCACUUCUCAGGAGGAAGCCUGUUUGAGGGAGCAAGGGAAGAUCUCAUCAGCCCUUCUUUGCUGGAUCACAGGAUGCAGAACUUUCCUGAAGGUUUCAGAUGAAGCCCCAGAGCUCAGGGAGGACUAAACAUGUGUCCUCUUCCCUGACCAGAGGCAGUGAGGUAAGAAACUUUGGGGAGCAUGUGACUAUCGUGGUUUUUUUUAAUGCUUAUUUAUUUUUGAGAAGGCACAGAUAGAGUGUGAGAGGAGAAGAGGCAGAAAGAGAGGGAGACACAGAAUUUAAAGCAGGCUCCGGGCUCUGAGCUGUCAACACAGAAUGCAAUGCAGGGUUCAAACUCACAACCUGCUAGAUCAUGACCAGAUCUGAAGUCGGAUGCUUCACCCACUCAGCCACCCAGGUGCCCAGUGACUGUCAUAUUUACUACAUGGAGUGUCCAUUCUUCAUAUAUGGGGCCCAAGACAGAGGCAGGACACAGGUAUCUGGGCUCCCUGAGAUAGUUAUCCUACAUACAAAAGUAAGAUGUGACAUUCCAAAAUAUGACACUUGAUGGCCUGGGUCACCCAGCCCUGCCAGCUGCUCAGAAACCGAGAAGGAGUCAUUGAUCCUCCAGGUGCUGAAUCGGGCCAGUGAGGUGGAGAAUGCCCUGAUGGAAUACCUGGCCGUAGCUUAAUCAGCUGUGGUGAGCAGCUGGACCCAAUUCAAAGGGAGGUAGGGACGAGGACACAGAGGGCAUCAUGGCUAUGUCUGGGCUCCUGGAAGGCAGGUGCAGGAAAAAGAUUUUCCAGGCCAUAUCUCCCCAGCCUCCCACCUAGGGUGGAGGGAGAGCAAAGUGCACGUGCAUGUGCAUUUACACUGUGUGGUCACCAGAGGGUAUUGUGGCCCUAACUGUGUGUGACAGAAAAUGAUGCUUGUGAAUGCUGCUUCUGCUGCUGCUGCUGCUGCCAAUCUCCUACUAAAUGAACCCUUACUACGUGCAAGCUCAUUUCCUCCUCACAACUCCCUAAUUCAUUAAGGAUUCUGGUACACUUUUUUAAUAUCAAAGAAACAUAAAGAGAUUAAAUAACUUGCCCAAUCACAAAGCCCUUAAGUGGUGGAGGUGGA